GACGAACGCUGGCGGCGUGCUUAACACAUGCAAGUCGAACGGUGAAGGGACUGGUUUUGCUGGUCCUGGAUGAGUGGCGAACGGGUGAGUAACACGUGAGUAACCUGCCCCCUUCUUCUGGAUAACCGCAUGAAAGUGUGGCUAAUACGGGAUAUUCUGGGUCUGUCGCAUGGUGGGCCUGGGAAAGAUUGCGCCUUUUUUGGUGUUUUUGGUGGGGGAUGGGCUCGCGGCCUAUCAGCUUGUUGGUGGGGUGAUGGCCUACCAAGGCGGUGACGGGUAGCCGGCCUGAGAGGGUGGACGGUCACACUGGGACUGAGACACGGCCCAGACUCCUACGGGAGGCAGCAGUGGGGAAUAGUGCACAAUGGGCGCAAGCCUGAUGCAGCGACGCCGCGUGAGGGAUGGAGGCCUUCGGGUUGUGAACCUCUUUCGCCAGUGAAGCAGGCCUGCCUCUUUUUGUGGGUGGGUUGACGGUAGCUGGAUAAGAAGCGCCGGCUAACUACGUG
rnacentral:rRNA from 1 species